UCCAGACUCCUACGGGAGGCAGCAGUGGGGGAUAUUGCACAAUGGGGGAAACCCUGAUGCAGCGACGCCGCGUGAGUGAAGAAGUAUUUCGGUAUGUAAAGCCCUAUCAGCAGGGAAGAAAAAAGACGGUACCUGACUAAGAAGCCCCGGCUAACUACGUGCCAGCAGCCGCGGUAAUACGUAGGGGGCAAGCGUUAUCCGGAUUUACUGGGUGUAAAGGGAGCGUAGACGGCAUGGCAAGUCAGAUGUGAAAGCCCGGGGCUCAACCCCGGGACUGCAUUUGAAACUGUCAGGCUGGAGUGCAGGAGAGGUAAGUGGAAUUCCUAGUGUAGCGGUGAAAUGCGUAGAUAUUAGGAGGAACACCAGUGGCGAAGGCGGCUUACUGGACUGUAACUGACGUUGAGGCUCGAAAGCGUGGGGAGCAAACAGGAUUAGAUACCCCCGUAGG
rnacentral:rRNA from 1 species